rnacentral:rRNA from 1 species
GACGAACGCUGGCGGCGUGCUUAACACAUGCAAGUCGAACGGAAAGGCCCUGCUUUUGUGGGGUGCUCGAGUGGCGAACGGGUGAGUAACACGUAAGUAACCUGCCCUUGACUUUGGGAUAACUUCAGGAAACUGGGGCUAAUACCGGAUAGGAGCUCCUGCUGCAUGGUGGGGGUUGGAAAGUUUCGGCGGUUGGGGAUGGACUCGCGGCUUAUCAGCUUGUUGGUGGGGUAGUGGCUUACCAAGGCUUUGACGGGUAGCCGGCCUGAGAGGGUGACCGGGCACAUGGGGACUGAGGGACGGCCCAGUCGCCUACGGGAGGCAGCAGUGGGGAGUAUUGCACAGUGGGCGGAAGCCUGAUGCAGCAGCGCCGCGUGCGUGAUGACGGCCUUCGAGGUGUAAACCGCUUUCGCCUUUGACGAAGCGGGAGUGACGGUAAUGGGUAAAGAAGCACCGGCUAACUACGUG